CAGUCGCCGCGGUAACACAGAGGAUGCAAGCGUUAUCCGGAAUGAUUGGGCGUAAAGCGUCUGUAGGUGGCUUUUCAAGUCCGCCAUCAAACCCCAAGGCUCAACCCUGGACAAGCGGUGGAAAAUACCAAGCUGGAGUACGGUAGGGGCAGAGGGAAUUUCCGUUGGAGCGGUGAAAUGCGUUGAGAUUGGAAAGAACACCAACGGUGAAAGCACUCUGCUGGGCCGACACUGACACUGAGAGACGAAAGCUAGGGGAGCAAAUGGGAUUAGAUACCCCUGUAGUCCCUGUCUCUUAUAC
rnacentral:rRNA from 1 species